CUUGGCCGAGCCCAGGCGCAGCGGCCGGCCCUCCGGACGCUCCUGCCCGUAGGUGGCGAGGAUCGCCUGCGCCUC
rnacentral:antisense_RNA from 1 species